GACGAACGCUGGCGGCGUGCCUAAUACAUGCAAGUUGAGCGCUGAAGGUUGGUCCUUGUACCAACUGGAUGAGCAGCGAACGGGUGAGUAACGCGUGGGGAAUCUGCCUUUGAGCGGGGGACAACAUUUGGAAACGAAUGCUAAUACCGCAUAAAAACUUUAAACACAAGUUUUAAGUUUGAAAGAUGCAAUUGCAUCACUCAAAGAUGAUCCCGCGUUGUAUUAGCUAGUCGGUGAGGUAAAGGCUCACCAAGGCGAUGAUACAUAGCCGACCUGAGAGGGUGAUCGGCCACAUUGGGACUGAGACACGGCCCAAACUCCUACGGGAGGCAGCAGUAGGGAAUCUUCGGCAAUAGACGAAAGUCUGACCGAGCAACGCCGCGUGAGUGAAGAAGGUUGUCGGAUCGUAAAACUCUGUUGGUAGAGAAGAACGUUGGUGAGAGUGGAAAGCUCAUCAAGUGACGGUAACUACCCAGAAAGGGACGGCUAACUACGUG
rnacentral:rRNA from 1 species